rnacentral:rRNA from 1 species
GACGAACGCUGGCGGCGUGCUUAACACAUGCAAGUCGAACGCUGAAGCUUGGUGCUUGCCCUGGGUGGAUGAGUGGCGAACGGGUGAGUAAUACGUGAGUAACCUGCCCUUGACUCUGGGAUAAGCCUGGGAAACUGGGUCUAAUACUGGAUACGACAUGCCACUGCAUGGUGGUGUGUGGAAAGGGUUUUACUGGUUUUGGAUGGGCUCACGGCCUAUCAGCUUGUUGGUGGGGUAAUGGCCUACCAAGGCGACGACGGGUAGCCGGCCUGGGAGGGUGACCGGCCACACUGGGACUGAGACACGGCCCAGACUCCUACGGGAGGCAGCAGUGGGGAAUAUUGCACAAUGGGCGGAAGCCUGAUGCAGCGACGCCGCGUGAGGGAUGACGGCCUUCGGGUUGUAAACCUCUUUCAGCACGGAAGAAGCGAGAGUGACGGUACGUGCAGAAGAAGCGCCGGCUAACUACGUG